CACGUAGGAGGCGAGCGUUGUCCGGAAUCAUUGGGCGUAAAGAGCGCGCAGGCGGCUUGGCAAGUCGGGUGUGAAAUCCCGGGGCUCAACCCCGUGACUGCAUUCGAUACUGUCAGGCUAGAGGUAGGUAGGGGAGAUCGGAAUUCCUGGUGUAGCGGUGAAAUGCGCAGAUAUCAGGAGGAACACCGGUGGCGAAGGCGGAUCUCUGGGCCUUACCUGACGCUGAGGCGCGAAAGCGUGGGGAGCAAACAGG
rnacentral:rRNA from 1 species